rnacentral:rRNA from 1 species
AGUGAACGCUGGCGGUAGGCCUAACACAUGCAAGUCGAACGGCAGCACAGUAAGAGCUUGCUCUUACGGGUGGCGAGUGGCGGACGGGUGAGGAAUACAUCGGAAUCUACUUUUUCGUGGGGGAUAACGUAGGGAAACUUACGCUAAUACCGCAUACGACCUACGGGUGAAAGCAGGGGAUCUUCGGACCUUGCGCGAUUGAAUGAGCCGAUGUCGGAUUAGCUAGUUGGCGGGGUAAAGGCCCACCAAGGCGGCGAUCCGUAGCUGGUCUGAGAGGAUGAUCAGCCACACUGGAACUGGGACACGGUCCAGACUCCUAAGGGAGGCAGCAGUGGGGAAUAUUGGACAAUGGGCGCAAGCCUGAUCCAGCCAUACCGCGUGGGUGAAGAAGGCCUUCGGGUUGUAAAGCCCUUUUGUUGGGAAAGAAAAGCAGCAGGUUAAUACCCCGCUGUUCUGACGGUACCCAAAGAAUAAGCACCGGCUAACUUCGUG